rnacentral:rRNA from 1 species
AGUGAACGCUGGCGGUAGGCCUAACACAUGCAAGUCGAACGGCAGCACAGUAAGAGCUUGCUCUUACGGGUGGCGAGUGGCGGACGGGUGAGGAAUACAUCGGAAUCUACUUUUUCGUGGGGGAUAACGUAGGGAAACUUACGCUAAUACCGCAUACGACCUACGGGUGAAAGCAGGGGAUCUUCGGACCUUGCGCGAUUGAAUGAGCCGAUGUCGGAUUAGCUAGUUGGCGGGGUAAAGGCCCACCAAGGCGACGAUCCGUAGCUGGUCUGAGAGGAUGAAUCAGCCAACUGGGAACGGAGAAAGGGGCCAAAUCCUAAGGGAGGGAACAGGGGGGAAAAAUGGAAAAAGGGGGGAAAGCUGAACCAGGCAAAACGCGUGGGGGAAAAAAGGCUUCGGGUUGGAAAAGCCGUUUGUUGGGAAAGAAAAGCAGCAGGUUAAUACCCCGCUGUUCUGACGGUACCAAAAGAAUAAGCACCGGCUAACUUCGUG